CUGUUUUUGAGACCACAGUGUUCAUCAGCAGCAUCCUACUUCUCCUCCUCCCCAUCUUGCUGGUUUCUGCAUCCUAUGCCUUCAUCCUCCACAGCCUCAUUCAGAUGCGUGCAGCUGGGAAGUCAAGAAAAGAGCCUGACAUGAACUAACUGCUCAAUAACUAUUUGUUGCAUGGGUUAAUAAAUGAAAAGGACCUGGAUUAUUUUACUGUCCCACAUGACAUUCAAGGUAAUUAAUUCAAAGAGCUGAAGAUAUUAUAAAAAGAAUACUACAGUGGAUAGCUUGGUAAGAAUCAUUUGUCUCAGCCAGAUAUUAAUCGCGUGUAUAUGCAGAGGCCUGGCAUCCCAGUGAACUUUCCUGGGGUCUAAUGGUCUGAGGGAUGCCAGAGUGAGGGACAAAUUUUUAUAUCCUGCUUUCCCUACUAGUUAAAAAUGUCAUGAAUCCCUGGGACCAUCUUCAGAAUAAUAACUCUUAAGGUUUGAGAGGAAAGUUAUACUGUCUUCGACAACUAAGUAUUUUCCCCUGAGAAACAGCUUUUUAGCCAUCUGUAAUCGGGUGAGCCACCCCUCAUGAGCUGGGUGUCAUCUUACCCACCUAGCCCUGAGGUUGGAUUUACUUUGUAAUACUCCAAUGACAAGUAGAAUUAAUUUUUACACAAACUAUACCUGGGUUGUUUCUGAAGUCCCAAGGGUGAUUCAUAAACAGCUAGCUCACAAUCCCAGUUAGAGACAGGGGGUUAUUCUUCUGCUGCCUCUCCCUCUCUACACACACAACAAUGCCCUUGUCAGGAAUCCUAUAAGAUUAUUUGAGAACAAAACAAUCGAAGCCAACAUUAUGGAUACUUAUUCGAGGACAGUAAGGGCUAUAAGAUGGAUAAGUUCUAUGGAUAUAGUUUACAGCAUGGUGACUAUAGUUCACAAAACAGUAUUGUAUAUUUGAAAGUUGCUAAGAGAAUAGAUCAUAAAAGUUCUUCCGACGAGAAAAAAUGUAUAAUGUUGUGAGGUGAUGGAUGUUAACUAAACUUACUGUGGUCAUCAUUUCACGAUAGAUACAUAAAUUAUUGUGUUGGACACCUUGGGUUAAUAUAAUAUUAUGUGUCAACUAUAUCUAAUAAAACAGGAAACAAUAAAUCUCACCCUUUAAUAAAAACAAACAAACAAACAAACACUACAAUGAGACAGCAUUUCAUGUCCAUUAGGAUGGCUAUCAUUAAAGAAACAGAAUGCAAGUGUUGGUGAGGAAGGUGAAGAACGUGG
rnacentral:lncRNA from 1 species